AUCUCUUUUUCCCAAAUAUCUCACAGAUCACAGACUAACUCACAAAACUCUCUCGGCUCCUUGCCCAAAUAUCUUCUCAAAUCCCUCAAAUUCAUCGAUCUAUUGAAGAUAUUUGCCCAAAAUCGUCAAAUUUCUUGCUCACUCAACUCAGUUAGCAUAUCAACCUAGAACCUAGAAUAUAGUGAUGGUAGGAGUUUUAGUGGGUUAAUUAUGAGAGUUUUUUAAUGGUGGAUUAAUUCGAGUUUUUUAACGGAGGGUAAAUUGAGUGAGCUGUUGUCAUUUAAUGCUAAUUCCUAUGGCUCUUUCAUGCUUGUUUCCUGCAAUGUGCUACUUAUAGGGAUUGCUGGUAUGUUGUUCUACUCUUUAUUCGCGUCUUUUUUAACAUUUCCCGGGUUCAAUUAGCAAUAGAUACUUGAUCUGAUAAGUAGAGUACAAUAGAGAUUUCAGGUUGUAGGAACUCUUUAGCUGUACAUAUGAUUUUCAUAGUUCAUAGCAAAAUGCCAUUUGUAGUGUCAGCCGGGAGAACUUUAUUAAUUCGUUUCUUGCGAUAGAGUCUAACAAAGUAAAAUUCAGCGUGAUGACCUAAAACGUUCAUCGCGCUGAAUAGAUUGCCCAUAGUUACUCAUUGAAAGGGUAAUACAUUUUGAAAGCCAUAUGUGAGAAGUUUCCCAAAUGUGCUUCUCGGAGGAAGGAGGAGUACUAACUUAGAAGGAAUCUGAAUUGAGAUGGUGGAUAAAUCAAAAAUCUCUUUUAUUUUCUCUACAAACAAAGAUAAUGGCAAAUUUCAGAUAUAUUAGGAUAAGUGGAAUUGAGGAGACAGAGAAAUGUUAGUGUCUACAUUGUUGGUCAAGUCAUUUUUCUGUAGAUGGUGAAGAUGGAUUAGAACACUUACUAACUUCUUAGCUACAACAUCAAGAAAGAAGAUUUCCUCUAGCUCAUAUACAUUCGUUUAACAGGAUUCAACACUUAUCACUUAUAAUUGACUCUUUAUGAUCUUUAUGUGAAGAAUUUUCUACAGCAAGAGUCCUAUUGAUGCAAUUAGGAACUGCUGACUCUUUAUGAUCACUGCUGUGCUUUACUAUGUGCUUGUGUGGUAUCUCGUGUCUUGAGCCGGGGGUCUAUCGGAAACAGCCUUUCUACUUCUUCAGAGGUAGAGGUAUGGACUGCGUACAUCUUACCCCCCCCAGACCCCACUAGGUGGGAAUACACUGGGUUUGUUGUUGUUGUUGACUCUUUAUGAUCACAUGCUAUGUUGCGAGGACACUUCCAGGUUACCUUUUGAUGUUUUAAACGGCCAUUGAAUUUACACGACACUCUCUUCUCAGUCGCAAUCUAGUUUUGAUUUAGAUUCUAACUAGAUUGCAAUCUAUUGAAAAACAUUUCCUAUAGCAGAUAUGAUCAUCUCAGUUUCCUAAAACAGUUUGUCAUAAGUAAAUAUGUAGCACUAUUUGCACUUUCAGUAGAACAGAAAAGUUCCUCUUCUUUGUUUUUCUUACCUCCAGUGAAUAACUUGUAUCCACCAUAGAAAAGCAAGCCCCAACCGGACAAAGAUACAAUCACAAACUAUCUUGUUACCAAAACUAUUCUUGAUGUUGUCCAGGUAUGCCACAAGCAUGGAGUAAUUCAUCGAGACCUCAAACUUGAGAACUUUUUAUACGCCAAUGCAACUUAAAAUGCUCAACUAAAGGCCAUUGGUUUUGGUCUUUCUAUUUUCUUUGAACCUGAGAUUUGGUGAAAUAGUAGGAAGUCCAUGUUACAUGGCUCCGGAAGUUCUUAGACGAAAUUAUGGACUAGAAGUUGAUGUUUGGAGUGCUGGCGUUAUACUUUUACAUUUUGUUAUGUGGUGUUCCCCCUUUUUGGGCAGGUAAGUUACAAUUAAAAGUCCUUAUUAUUUCCUUGUAGUUAUUUACUAAUUGAGUUUAUGAAUAGUCUAGUUGUGUUUCCUUGAUUUAUGGGGUGUGAUUAGCACAGAAACUGAAGAAAGGAUUGCACACGCAAUAGUGAAGGGAACAAUAGAUUUUAACAGAUAUCCAUGGCCAAGAGUAUCUGAUGUAGCUAAGGACCUUGUCAAAGGAAUGCUUGAUGCUAAUCCUUAUAACAGAUUUACUGUUGAAGAAGUCCUUGGUGCGAUUUAGGUGUUUGGAUUGCCAAAGUGGACAUUUUGAGAGGGGAGUUUUGGUUCAAGUUUGGUGAAUUCCAUCUUAGUUGGAUGCUGGAUGAGACAUUAAGACCUAUGCUCCUCAUUCUCCUUCCAUGCAUUUUCAGAUGUGUUUGUCAUUCGCAUAUUGCUGUGAGAUUAGCUGCAUCUAGAUGUAUUACAACUAUGGCCAAGUCAAUGACAUUGGAUGUGAUGGAUGUGGUGCCUAUGUGAGGUGACAUUACAUCUAUACAUUCUAAACAAGGAGCUGGCAUGCUUGUCAGCUUGCUUGUCCAAGGACUUGGUAUCGAGCUGGUUCCAUAUGCUCCCCUCUUAGUAGUUCCCCUUCUGAGGUGUAUGAGUGAUUCAGAUCAUUCUGUCAGAUAGAGUGUGACACAUAGUUUUGCAACCCUCGUGCCUCUACUUACAUUAGCACGUGGUGUUUCUCCUCCUGUUGGUCUUAGUGAACACCUAUCAAGAAGUCAAGAAGAUGUUAAAUUUUUGGAGCAGCUAAUUGACAACUCUCAUAUUGACGAUUACAAACUCUCAACUGAACUAAAGGUGACAUUGAGAAGAUUCUCAGGACUCCAUAUCAGAUGAUGAGCUUGUCGAAAGAGUUGCAGAGCUGGCAGUGCUAGUGCAAAAUUCUCUAGAUAUUUUGACUGAUAAGGACAGCCUCCAGGAAGCAAUGUCCAGGUUCCCAGGUUCCCAUGCUCUGGUUUGAUAUGCCAUUGGACUUUUCGAACUUAUCUUCACCUGAUGGGAGUAAUGCACAAGCUGUAAGAGGAAAAAUUCUUUCAAAUUCUUCCGGCCCAAUUCAUGCUUCGGUUCAUUGAAAAGGAUCAAUGUGGGGAUCAAAUUUGAAUGGUGGGAGCCACAACUCAACUGGAUCUAGAUAGAAGUGAAUGAUGAAGAAUAUUUGAAAUAUUUUAAUAUACGUUUAUGUACAUUUGGUUUUGUGUGGAACUUGGUACAAAUUUUUAUUAUGUUGUUUUCUAAUUAGUACGUAAAAACCAUGUUUUUUUUUAAAUCAAAUCUAUGCACUUCAAUUAUUUAUUAGCUAAUUGGUGUGUGAGAUUAUA